rnacentral:misc_RNA from 1 species
GGGGGCGGAGGGGGUGGGUGCGGCGCCAACUUUAGUUGCUUUAAUUCUCGAACCCCAAAGUUGCUGGAAUAAAGUUAGUUCCUUCUCCAUACUCCUCUAGAAUCUGGAGUCUAGUAAAAAGUUAGCAGGCUCAGUUUUUGCAGCAUAGCCAAAUUUGGAUGUACUAUACUUCCUGUGUACACCUGUGAGUUUCCCUGUUGCGGCAUUUUGAUGAAAGUUGACCAUAAGCCUUGAACAUUCCCUAUAAAAUCCCAGGAACAGUUACAAAUGAGUGAAAACUAUCAGGUUUUACAGUUCAAAUGUUGUGUUACGAACAUGCCCACAAUCACUUACAGAAGUUGCUCUUCUGAGUAGCUAGCAUACCACUCGUUUGUCUUGCUCCAUUGCCUAGAUCCACUAAGAGUGCACUGAGCAGUGUAAAUUGCAGCGGCAGCUAACAGGGAAGGUGGAAACUUGAGCAUUUCAUAUUCAACUAGGCAAAGCUCAAUGAUGAAGAACGAUAGAAGCUCAAGCUUUUUGUCAGAUUGGGCAGCUUGGAGAAACCUCCUCAUAAACACAUAUGGAGUUGGAACAGAGAGAUUAAACUGCAAGGUAGUAACCAUCAACUUCUCCAUGUCAAGCACUUCUUUUCUGCUGUAGGCCUUGUCAGAAAUUAGAAUGAGAUCCUCCACAACAGGAACUGAUACCUCUUCGUAUUUGCAUGCAAGAAGCAUGGCUGUCACCCCAACCAGCUGGAGUUUCUUUCUCACUACUGAAUGAACUGCUAAAAAUCUAUCAAUGAGAUUGACAGUAAGAUAUAAGGUCUCAUCCAUCAAUUCAAACUUGUAGUGCACCUCAAUCAACCAGUCAAUUAGGAUACCUCUCAUCCUUUCAUUAAUGUCGAAUUGCUGUGCCAUGUAGCUUGGUGGGGCACAAGAGGAUCUCUGCAAGUAAAUAUUGCAAAACAAGUUUUAGUAAAUGGACUUAAAAAUCUUUCAAAAAAGCUUUUUUCAAAAAAGCUAGCCUUGGUUUUCCUCUUAUUUUUCUAAAUUCUUCAACACCGUUUAACUCCCCAUUUCAAAAAAGCUUUCAAGUGAUUUUUUGUUACACCUCCUCCUUUUGGCUAAUAAAAAGACGUUCUUUUUAGGCUACUUCUUUCCUUCACCGAAAUGUUUCGAGCAAGUUUUUGCCGAUUAAACAACAGAUCAAUCAAGCGCAGAAGGAUUGAGAUUCCACCUCUGUUUUCUUAUAGAAAGUAUACAAAUCACCAAUGUAUUCGACUAUUGUAAGUGGAUUUUUCUUGUCACAGCUGUCUAUGUCCACAAACGGCUCCUCAACUACAUCUUCCAUUUCAACCUCAUCCUUCAGCAAACCAAAACAGUGAUAACACUCAGACCAAAAGUGAUAACAAUAUGAACAAAUAAAAAAAUACUGUGUUAUACAAACCAUGCGAUCAAUCUCUUCCAGCAUUGCUUCUGUGUGUUGUACAAACAUAGGCACAGAAA